rnacentral:rRNA from 1 species
CCUAACACAUGCAAGUCGAACGGUAACAGGAAGAAGCUUGCUUCUUUGCUGACGAGUGGCGGACGGGUGAGUAAUGUCUGGGAAACUGCCUGAUGGAGGGGGAUAACUACUGGAAACGGUAGCUAAUACCGCAUAACGUCGCAAAACCAUAGAGGGGGACCUUCGGGCCUCUUGCCAUCGGAUGUGCCCAGAUGGGAUUAGCUAGUAGGUGGGGUAACGGCUCACCUAGGCGACGAUCCCUAGCUGGUCUGAGAGGAUGACCAGCCACACUGGAACUGAGACACGGUCCAGACUCCUACGGGAGGCAGCAGUGGGGAAUAUUGCACAAUGGGCGCAAGCCUGAUGCAGCCAUGCCGCGUGUAUGAAGAAGGCCUUCGGGUUGUAAAGACC